rnacentral:misc_RNA from 1 species
GAAAUGCGAUAAGUAAUGUGAAUUGCAGAAUUCAGUGAAUCAUCGAAUCUUUGAACGCACAUUGCGCCCGCCAGCACUCUGGCGGGCAUGCCUGUUCGAGCGUCAUUUCAACCCUCAGAACCCCUUGCGGGAUCUGGCGUUGGGGCUUGGCAUCCAGCCAGCCCCGAAAUCUAGUGGCGGUCCCUCCGCGACCUCCCCUGUGCAGUAGCGAUACCUCGCAGCGGGACAGCGGUCUGACCACGCCAUAAAACCCCCAACUUCUCAAGGUUGACCUCGAAUCAGGUAGGAAUACCCGCUGAACUUAAGC